AUAUAUAAAACUGGGUCACAAGGUAAGCUUGUGUAAAUAAAAAAAAAAGUUGUAGGAUUGUUUUGGUGCCUAAUGAUAGCUAUUGCAGUGGUUGCAAUAAAUGUAUAUGGCACAAAGUUUGGGACCCAGGAAAGGGCCUUUUCAUGUGUGUGUGUGGGGGGGUCCUUGUACAUAGAGCUGCCUCCUGUUUCUUAUUUAUUUGUUUGUUAAAUUUAAAUACAACCCAUAAAUAGUGGGGGGGGGGAGUAUUUAAAACAGUGGAGAAAAGAUAAAGAAAAAAGGGUACAGUAUAGUUAGCAAUUACAAUUUUUAACUUACUGUAUUCUGUAUAAGUGAGUUCCAUUUCUUUAUUGUGUUAACUGGCUAGUUAACAAAAAUCUUUUUCAUCAGGUGAUGAAACAGAAGGAGAUGAAGAGAGACCUGCCUGAAGAAGGAAAGCCCUGACUGCUGAUGCUUCUGACCUUUUGACUUGCAUAUAUGCAACCUGCUCAUCUUGUUCCUCAGGUUCACCAAAAGUGAAAAAUUGCCAGCUAUACUCCUGUACACUGUUGCUCCUCUGUCUAGGUUGGCUUCAAGAGCAUCCAUGACAGGGAUAAAUGAAUUUCCCCUAAACUUGUCUCUUUCAGAAAGUUCGUCCAAGGUUUUGGGUGCUGUCCCAUCAUUAUUAUUUUUUUAUUCUUUGUAUUCUUUUGACAGUUUUGUACCCUACAUCCGGUAGAGUAAAUUUGGCUUGCUGUUAAAUUUCAUCAAAAUUAGCCCGAGUGUUUGAUACAAACUGUAACAGUGAACUGUAAAUAUUUGCACAUGCGCUCAAAUGAAAUUUGUGAAGUUUGGAGUGUCUUGCUAACUUUAUGAAAUUGUUCUAGCAAAUGUGUCCAAAGAUGAAGCAUGGAAAUGAAUUCAAAUUCUUCCAUUUUCUAAAGAAAAUUUUAGCCUGUUGUCUAUUAUCACCUUUUUUAGUUUCAUCACAGUAAAUACAACCCAGGGCUUCAACAAUGUAAGCAUAACUUCCAAUAAUAGCUGCAGUAGCUUUGGCAAGAGCCUCCCAUCUUAUGUCUGGUAAAUCUUUAGGGUCAAGAGGCAAGAUUUUUUUAGCACUGCCCAUCUUUUUGUAGAAGCUCAGAAAAAUAAAAAUUAAGCUCAUUUAUUGUGGCAAAAAAAAUAUCACUGCAUCCAGGCAUGAAAGGACAAGUCAACUGUGGUUCGUCCAACUAAAGUGGAAUGUAGUCUGUGAAACCUUAUAGCAUAACAAAAAUUGAUGGUCUUUAAGGUGACACAAAACUCUUUGUUGCUAUUGCAAGUAAUCUACAUGAGAUGUUAUCAGAGCAUGAAUGACAGCAGGAAAAAUCUCAAUCAGUGACAAGAGGAUGCAGCCUGCUGAACAAGUGUUUAACUAAUUUUGAUAACGAUAGUCACAAUGUCAGCAGCCUCAACUGUUGUCCUCCUGCAGUCAAAUGCUGGUGAAUGGUUAGCGAAUGAAUGGCUUGAGAGACAGUGCCACCUAAUCGCUUUUUGAUUCCUCAUGCCUCAGCCCCGCUUUUUUCAUUUGUGGUGCUGGCUCUCCAUGACGACUGCAUUUGGUGAUUCACUUGUUGAUGUUAGUCAUUCAAUCAAUAAUGACUUGUCACAUUUUGGAAAGUGAACUAAGCUCAAAAUUGCCCAAGACAUUUUGCCGCCUGAGGCAAAGGACAAGAUCCCAGCACCUUCCAUGUAGAGACUGGACCAGAAGUUGAAUCUUACUUCAAUCCAGGCAACAGGAUAAUGUCCCCAUGUGUACUUGAGUGCAGUAGGCUAGGUUAAGGGGUCCAUGACAAGCCUGUGGCUUAGUGUGCUUUUAAUAUGAGUUUUAAACUGGUUAUACUGUCUCUGUUAUAAGGGAAAGUUUUUUUCUGUCUUUCAGUGAUUAAUAUUGUCUUGUUUGUAAGCCAUCCGGAGACUAUUUUUUUAAAGGUGGUCACAUAAAUUUAAUAAAUGGCAUGAAUACACCAUA